GUCGGUAAAACUCGUGCCAGCCACCGCGGUUAUACGAAAGACCCUAGUUUAUAGGUACGGCGUAAAGGGUGGUUAGGGAACAAACAAAAUAAAGCCAAAGACCUCCUAAGCCGUCAUACGCUCACGGAGGCACGAAGUCCAAACACGAAAGUAGCUUUACCAAACAUGCCCGACCCCACGAAAGCUGAGAAACAAACUGGGAUUAGAUACCCCACUAUGA
rnacentral:rRNA from 1 species